rnacentral:lncRNA from 1 species
CUCUUUUUCUUUCUCUUUUUAUGGCUGCACCCUCAGAUUAUGGAAGUUCCCAGGCUCAGGGUCAAAUCAGAGCUUCAGCUGCCAGCCUAAACUAUAGCCACAGCCACACUAAUGCAGGAUCUGACCUAUGUUGCAACUUGCAACAAUGCUGGAUCCUUUAACCCAACGAUCGAGGCCAGGGAUUAAACCUGCAUCGUCGUGGACACUAUGUCAGGUUCUUAACCCGCUGAACCACAACAGGAACUCCUUUAUAUUUUCAAUUAGGAAGACCACUGUGCUUUGUCUGAAUUUUUCUUUGCUGUGCUAUAGUUUCAAAAUGACCACCAGAUAAUAGCUCCUUGCCAUCUGCUUCUCCAACUUCAGCUUCAGGAACCUACUUUGGUUUUCGGGUGACCAAGAAAAUUUCUCCCUUUCUCAAAAGAAGAGUCAACCACACAGCGUACGUGCCUCACCAAGGAAUUCAUCUGAAUUUCUAGAUCUCUUGCUUACUUAGAGACAGAACUCAAUUAAUUAUGUGCCAAUUAGUUAUUAGUUGCCUAAGAAAUUGCAAAAGACUAUGCCCCAGGCUUUGAUGGAGCACAGUUUCUUAGUGCAGUUUCUCAAAAUAUAAAUCAAGGGCAAAGGUUUAUAAUCAAAUUUCAUAAGUUUAGAAAUCAGUUUUGCUUUGAAAUCAACAUAAUUUGAUCUCAGGCAUUUCUUGGGACUAGAGGAAACAUUUUUACUUCAUGUUGUUUGCCUAAAAAGAAGAGUCAAAAAAACAAAAACUCUCUGGAAGAUCUACAUUCCCCAGAUUCAUCUUAACUAGUGAAGAUGAACGAAAACAUCUGUCCAGUCCCCUCUUUAAAGAUCUUCGUAGGAGGAAUUCUGGGCAUGUGAAAGGAGUCAAGGUCACAGUGUAGGCCUCCGUCUACCAUCCUGCCAGGUCUGCAAGGAACUCAGGGCGUUGCAAGGAACUCAGUUCUGGCGUCCUGCUAAGGAUAAGUAGAAGGCAUUGACUCUUCACUAUGUGGUUGCUUUCAACAAAAUUUAUGAGAAAGCAAAAGGAAGUUUCUAAACUACUGCCAGAUGGCAAGAACUUGGAGCACUGAAAUGAGACUAAAACCCAAUCAGAAAGAAGCAUAACCUAUUUAGGACAAGACAUCGGGGCCUCUUGUGAAACUGAAGCAUUUCCAAAUCUUCUGUAAAGACAUAAAGUCUGACCAGACAAAAUUAUUUCCUAGGUGUAACAUUCAGAAAUCAAAGUCAUACCUGAGUGACAACAGUCUCCCAUUUGCUGUCUGUUCUUUGUUCUUAAGUGAGUUUCUUCUCUGUUGAAGCUGCUUUUGAAGAAU